AGAUUCAAGGGAAAGAGAGUAGUUUUUCUGAAACAGCUUCCUUCUGGGUUGCUCCUUGUUACUGGUCCAUUUAAGAUUAAUGGAGUUCCUUUGAGAUGUGUUAGCCGUAAUCAUAUGUGAUCCGCACCUCCACAAAGGUUGAUAUCUCUGGAGUUAGUGUCGAGAAAUUUGAUGACAAGUACUUUGCCAAGAAGACUGAGAAGAAGAAGAAGGGAGAAGGAGAGUUUUUUGAGGCGGAAAAAGAGG